rnacentral:rRNA from 1 species
CUACGGGCGGCUGCAGUGAGGAAUAUUGCACAAUGGGGGGAACCCUGAUGCAGCAACGCCGCGUGGAGGAUGACGCAUUUCGGUGUGUAAACUCCUUUUAUAUGUCAAGAAAAUGACGGUAGCAUAUGAAUAAGCACCGGCUAACUCCGUGCCAGCAGCCGCGGUAGAUACGGAGGGUGCAAGCGUUACUCGGAAUGACUGGGCGUAAAGGGCGUGUAGGCGGGUUGGAAAGUCAGGUGUGAAAUCCUACAGCUUAACUGUAGAACUGCACUUGAAACUGCUAAUCUAGAGUAUGGGAGGGGGAGAUGGAAUUAGUGGUGUAGGGGUAAAAUCCGUAGAUAUCACUAGGAAUACCUAAAGCGAAGGCGAUCUCCCGGAACAUUACUGACGCUAAGGCGUGAAAGCGUGGGGAGCAAACAGGAUUAGAUACCCUUGUAGUC